GAAAUGCGAUAAGUAGUGUGAAUUGCAGAAUUCAGUGAAUCAUCGAAUCUUUGAACGCACAUUGCGCCCCUUGGUAUUCCAUGGGGCAUGCCUGUUCGAGCGUCAUUUGUACCCUCAAGCUCUGCUUGGUGUUGGGUGUUUGUCCCGUCUCCGCGCGUGGACUCGCCCCAAAGUGAUUGGCAGCCGGCGUACUGGUCCCGGAGCGCAGCACAUGUCGCGCAAACGAGUGCCUUGGUACGGCGGCGUCCAUAAGCCCCUCUCUCACGCUCUUGACCUCGGAUCAGGUAGGGAUACCAGCUGAACUUAAGC
rnacentral:misc_RNA from 1 species